GGUCCUGUGGUCUAGUGGUUAGGACACAUGACUCUGAAUCAUGAGUUCAAGCGGCAGGACCU
rnacentral:tRNA from 1 species